rnacentral:rRNA from 1 species
UAUUGCACAAUGGGCGCAAGCCUGAUGCAGCCAUGCCGCGUGUGUGAAGAAGGCCUUCGGGUUGUAAAGCACUUUCAGUCAGGAGGAAAGGUUAGUAGUUAAUACCUGCUAGCUGUGACGUUACUGACAGAAGAAGCACCGGCUAACUCCGUGCCAGCAGCCGCGGUAAUACGGAGGGUGCGAGCGUUAAUCGGAAUUACUGGGCGUAAAGCGUACGCAGGCGGUUUGUUAAGCGAGAUGUGAAAGCCCCGGGCUCAACCUGGGAACUGCAUUUCGAACUGGCAAACUAGAGUGUGAUAGAGGGUGGUAGAAUUUCAGGUGUAGCGGUGAAAUGCGUAGAGAUCUGAAGGAAUACCGAUGGCGAAGGCAGCCACCUGGGUCAACACUGACGCUCAGACGAAG